rnacentral:lncRNA from 1 species
ACGUGUGCAGAAGUCCUUCUUGUUCUAGUCGUUGUUCCCGUCUGAGUACCAGCUCCCCACUGCCCUGAGGGGGAGCCGGCCUGUGGCAGAGGGAAGGAGGAGGAGAAGGCAAUAGUCCCGGAUCCCUGCAGUCUUUCUGUAGGUUGCGGCACUACGCCAGGCGACAGAAGAGGAAGAAAAUUAACCCCGAUCGGUGAAGGUCGAUUUGAGGGUCCGCUGUAGCAGGUGGCACCACUUGAAGCGAGGAGGAAGUUUCCUCGGAUCAGUAGAGAUCACAAGGGUUGUUGGGCGUGGCACACCUCCAGGGGAGGGAAGAAGGGGCAAAUUGCCUGUCUGGAGGAGGUCCACUUCUAGUGUCAGCGACUGUGGCCUUGAAGGGGGGCUGAAGACAAGGCGAUCACCCUCCACAGGCCUGCACGCAGCCAGGCCCGUAGCCGUUCUCCCCCAGCCUGAGUGACUGCUCUGUUCCUUGGUCCCUG